rnacentral:RNase_P_RNA from 1 species
CGGGUAAGUCGGGUAAUCGCUUUUCCUUUGGAAAAGAGGAAAGUCCGAACUUCAAAGAGCGACGAGCCGGUUAACUGCCGGGCACCCGCCUUCGGCGGAUGACGACAAGUGCAACAGAAAGCAAACCAGCCCUUCGGGGUGAUGGGUGAAACGGUGAGGUAAGAGCUCACAGGCAUGCUUGGCGACAAGCGUGACCGGGUAAACUCCUCGUGAAGCAAGACCAAAUAGGAAGACGCAAAGGGUUGCUCGCCCUGUUCCGGCUUCGGCCGGAAAGCGUUUUCGGGUAGGUCGCACGAGCCGUGCGGCAACGUACGGCCUAGAUGAAUGAUUACCGCUUCGCCGAUUGGCGGAGAACAGAAUUCGGCUUACAGACUUGCCGGGUUU